rnacentral:rRNA from 1 species
CCUACGGGAGGCAGCAGUGGGGAAUAUUGCACAAUGGGCGCAAGCCUGAUGCAGCCAUGCCGCGUGUGUGAAGAAGGCCUUCGGGUUGUAAAGCACUUUCAGCGGGGAGGAAGGCGGUGAGGUUAAUAACCUCAUCGAUUGACGUUACCCGCAGAAGAAGCACCGGCUAACUCCGUGCCAGCAGCCGCGGUAAUACGGAGGGUGCAAGCGUUAAUCGGAAUUACUGGGCGUAAAGCGCACGCAGGCGGUCUGUCAAGUCGGAUGUGAAAUCCCCAGGCUCAACCUGGGAACUGCAUUCGAAACUGGCAGGCUAGAGUCGUGUAGAGGGGGGUAGAAUUCCAGGUGUAGCGGUGAAAUGCGUAGAGAUCUGGAGGAAUACCGGUGGCGAAGGCGGCCCCCUGGACAAAGACUGACGCUCAGGUGCGAAAGCGUGGGGAGCAAACAGGAUUAGAUACCCGAUAGUC